GUUGCAAUGCUCGUGAAGAUACUCAAACCCACGCGCCGCUCCUAACGCAAUGCGUUUCCUAGUCUCCCAGUCAAGAACCGGGUCCCCCGCCUUGAUCUCUCUGAGACGGUGCGCGAGGCUGAGGUUCUGCAUGAAGGGGUAAACCAAGAGGCGUUCCGUUUGAGUGGUGCAGAAACCUAUGAGGCGGAGGAGGUUCUUGUGGACGGCUACGCUUAUCAUCUCGACUUCUCGCUGGAAAGCAGCGUCUCCACCGGGAGAUUCGAAGUCUGUGAGUCUUUUGACAGCGACUUUGGUGUUGUCUGGAAGCACUCCU
rnacentral:lncRNA from 1 species